rnacentral:pre_miRNA from 2 species
CAACUCUCAUCCUACACCAUUGGAUCGAGAAAUGGGCGUCCGAGAUUCGUCCACGUCACCAUGAGUUAAAAUUUAACUCUUAGUAAAUUUUAACUCAUUAGUGAAUUUGCAAGUUAAAUUUUAACUCAUGGUGACGUGGACGAAUCUUGGACGUCCAUUUCUUGAUCCAACGGUGUAGAAUGAGAGUUA